UUUAGUUAUGCAAGCUUCGAAGCUGUGGGCUAUGAUCUGAAAGAGUUGAAUCUGGAGCAGUUGGUGCAAAGGGUUUUAGUUUGCUUCAAACCAAGUAAUUUCUCUGUUGCCGUGCAUGUGGAUGUUGAUUGUCACUCAUUUGAACAGACCUGUCUGCUGGAUGUUAAAGGAUACCGUUGCCGGGAGAGUAGCAUCGAAGAGCUUGGUUCAGGGGGUUCCAUCAUUUACCAGAGCUUCAACGGCAUUGGGGGAUGUGGAUCACCUAGAUCAACUCUGAGUUGCCUCUGGGAAGAGGAGGAAGAGUAUUAUUAUAAUUAAAACGGCUUAUUUUCUUAUGUUAUAAUUAUUAAAUAAAUUGCUUCCCAGGCAUUGCCUGGUGAUAUAGCAUGGGGUGUGUUUCUAUUCUAGUACUUUUUUGUCUUUUAUCAAGUCAAUUGCUAUGCCAGCAAACCUGAACUUGUUACUGCCAUUUGUACGGCAGAAUGUGGAGCUUCUCCAUUU
rnacentral:lncRNA from 1 species